rnacentral:rRNA from 1 species
GUGGGGAAUCUUGCGCAAUGGGCGCAAGCCUGAUCCAGCCAUGCCGCGUGAGUGAUGAAGGCCUUCGGGUUGUAAAGCUCUUUAGUCCACGAAUAUAAUGACUGUAGUGGAAGAAUAAGCCCCGGCUAACUUCGUGCCAGCAGCCGCGGUAAUACGAAGGGGGCGAGCGUUAUUCGGAAUCACUGGGCGUAAAGCGUGCGUAGGCUGUUUUGUAAGUCAGAAGUGAAAGCCCAGGGCUUAACCCUGGAAUUGCUUUUGAAACUACAAGACUCGAAUUCGGGAGAGGAUAGCGGAAUUGUCAGUGUAGCAGUGAAAUGCGUAGAUAUUGACAGGAACACCAGUGGCGCAAGCGGCUAUCUGGACCGAUAUUGACGCUAAGGCACGAAAGCGUGGGGAGCAAACAGGAUUAGAAACCCGGGUAGUCC